rnacentral:tRNA from 1 species
GCCUUCGUGGUGCAGUGGUCCGCACGCUCGAAGUGUAUUCGAGAGGUCAGUGGUUCGAGUCCCGGUGAGGGCA